AAAGACCUGGUACCUUUUGUUGUUGUAAGUUCCUAAUUAGUUUGUUUCUGUAUUUGUGUCGGAGCUAUCCGGAUGUUGAGCGAGGGUCCCUGGAAGGUGGGAACCGCUGUUAUGAUCUUGAUGAAGCUGUCCAUUUCCUAUGGACAACAAUAUGGGUGGCCUGGCCAUUUGGAAAGGCCCGUGUUUAUGUAUUAUCUCGAAAUUGAUGAAGCAGAUCCGGAUGUGCAUCGGAGCUAUCCGGAUGUUGAGCGGGGGUCUCUGAAACCUUAUUGAGGACAUGCAGAAAGCAAAGGAAGAGAUGGAAAAACUGAAAGGCGAGGCACAAGCUAACAAGGAUCACAUGCUAUAGUAUAAAGAAAUAGCACAAGUGAAUGAAGUUGCAUUGAAACAAAUUGAAUAUGCUCAUGAAAAAUUCAAGGCUGAGGUACAUCCCUGUAUACUGAACCUCAUUUUUUGAAAGUUGCAAUCCCUGUUUUUAGUGUUUUUUUUUUUGUCUUUCUUUCUUUUAAGAUGU